CUACUCACCCAAAGGCCAGACCUAAAGCAUUUGGAGAGGUGCAGGUUGCUAGUAAUGUCCCUGGGGUCGAGUUGUUGGAACAAGAUGAUGAUGGCAGUGGUGAUGACAUUGAUGAGGAUGGGGGAUACAGUGGCUUGUCGGAUGAUGAUAAUGAAAAUGUUCCUAUUGAAGAAGGUGAUUCUCAGUAUGAAUCUGGUGGGUCCAGUGAUGACGACUUUGUUUCUGAUGGUGACAGUGGUGAAAAUGAUGUACAAGAGGAUGAAGAAGUGUCUGAUAGCGAUAAUGAUAAUAAAGCUGCUGAUCAGGCAGAUGACAUUAGUGAGUAUGAGUGUGAUGAGGAUGAGGAGCUAGAGGACUCUACAUCUUUACUGCAAUCUGAUGAUGGAACUGCAAAGGACAAUAUAUCUAAAGCACAGAAGAGGAAGUUUUCUGAUUUUGAUGGACAACUGA
rnacentral:lncRNA from 1 species